UUAAGUGACGAAGCGUAUACGGUGGAUGCCUUGGCAGUUAGAGGCGAUGAAGGACGUGUAAGUCUGCGAAAAGCUGUGGUGAGCCGACAAAAUGCAUUUGAGCCACAGAUGUCCGAAUGGGGAAACCCACCUGUUUACAGGUAUCGUUACAUGAAUACAUAGUGUAACGAGGCGAACGAGGGGAACUGAAACAUCUAAGUACCCUUAGGAAAAGAAAUCAAACGAGAUUCCCCUAGUAGCGGCGAGCGAACGGGGAACAGCCCUUAAGCUGUUUAGUGUGUAGUGGAAUCCUUUGGGAAGAGGAGCGAUACAGGGUGAUAGCCCCGUACACAAAGCGUGCUUUACAGUGAAAUCGAGUAGGUCGGGACACGUGUUAUCUUGACUGAAUAUGGGGGGACCAUCCUCCAAGGCUAAAUACUCCUAACUGACCGAUAGUGAACCAGUACCGUGAGGGAAAGGCGAAAAGAACCCCUGUGAGGGGAGUGAAAUAGAACCUGAAACCGUAUACGUACAAGCAGUGGGAGCCCCAUCACUAAGUGCCUUUAGUGAUGUGACUCACAAAGUGCUAACCCUUGAUAUAGCGAUUAACGUUGACCUGCGAAGCAGCCAACGGUAAACCGCCAAAAUCAAGCAGGGUGCUUAGUGAUGGGGUGACUGCGUACCUUUUGUAUAAUGGGUCAGCGACUUAUAUUUAGUAGCAAGGUUAAGCGAAUAGCGGAGCCGUAGCGAAAGCGAGUGUUAACUGCGCGUUGAGUUGCUAGGUAUAGACCCGAAACCCGGUGAUCUAGCCAUGAGCAGGUUGAAGGUUGAGUAACAUCAACUGGAGGACCGAACCCACUGACGUUGAAAAGUCAGGGGAUGACUUGUGGCUGGGGGUGAAAGGCCAAUCAAACCGGGAGAUAGCUGGUUCUCCCCGAAAUCUAUUUAGGUAGAGCCUCGGACGAAUUCCAUUGGGGGUAGAGCACUGUUAAGGCUAGGGGGUCAUCCCGACUUACCAACCCUUUGCAAACUCCGAAUACCAAUGAGAACUAUCCGGGAGACACACGGCGGGUGCUAACGUCCGUCGUGGAGAGGGAAACAACCCAGACCGCCAGCUAAGGUCCCAAAAUAUUGCUAAGUGGGAAACGAUGUGGGAAGGCACAGACAGCUAGGAGGUUGGCUUAGAAGCAGCCACCCUUUAAAGAAAGCGUAAUAGCUCACUAGUCGAGUCGGCCUGCGCGGAAGAUGUAACGGGGCUAAGCAAUAUACCGAAGCUGCGGCAGCACAGUUUACUGUGCUGGGUAGGGGAGCGUUGUGUAAGUGGAUGAAGGUGAGUUGUAAAGCUUGCUGGACAUAUCACAAGUGCGAAUGCUGACAUGAGUAACGAUAAUGGGAGUGAAAAACUCCCACGCCGGAAGACCAAGGUUUCCUGUCCCAUGCUAAUCAGGGCAGGGUAAGUCGGCCCCUAAGGCGAGGCAGAAAUGCGUAGUCGAUGGGAAACGGAUUAAUAUUUCCGUACUUAUAUAAUCAGUGAUGGAGGGACGGAGAAGGCUAGGCAAGCUUGGCGUUGGUUGUCCAAGUGAAAGUGCGUAGACCGAGAACUUAGGUAAAUCCGGGUUCUUAAAGUCGAGACACGAGACGAGCCACCAAGGUGGUGAAGUUGUUGAUGCCCUGCUUCCAGGAAAAGCUUCUAAACUUAUGAUUAUAUGAACCGUACCCCAAACCGACACAGGUGGUCAGGUAGAGAAUACUAAGGCGCUUGAGAGAACUCGGGUGAAGGAACUCGGCAAAAUUGUACCGUAACUUCGGGAGAAGGUACGCCUCUGUGUGUGAAGACUUCGCGUCGUAAGCACAUGGAGGCCGCAGUGACCAGGUGGCUGGGACUGUUUAUUAAAAACACAGCACUCUGCAAACUCGUAAGAGGACGUAUAGGGUGUGACACCUGCCCGGUGCCGGAAGGUUAAUUGAUGGGGUUAGUUUUCGGACGAAGCUCUUGAUCGAAGCCCCGGUAAACGGCGGCCGUAACUAUAACGGUCCUAAGGUAGCGAAAUUCCUUGUC
rnacentral:rRNA from 1 species